UCCAGACGGCCUCUGGCACGCACUCCCUCACAGUGCUUAUUGUAAGAAGAGACCCGGCAAUGGGCAAUUGUGUUACUCACUUCAUUUACUUCGUUACAAUAUUUAGAGCUACUUCAUUAAAUUUGCUUAGACUGUCCCGUGGCUUCCCCCCCACCGCAAGUGUCUGUUUCACGCAGAUAAUGAGAAGCACGGAGGGUAAAAAGUUUCCUGUUGGAGGGACUAGAAAGUAUUUCACUGAUUCAUAGCUUGAGGUUAGCUUUUAAUUUUUCUCCCUCCCUUCUUCCCUGGAAGGAGCCAAUAGCACGCAGCAUUUCACAGUGAACAUAUCAAGGCAUUUGGUUACUAAGUGGCCGAGGCAAUUAAGCUAUUGUUCUCCGAGAUGAAAAGAGACACUGUCUGGCUGUGUCGGGAGGGCCGGAGUCCAACCGCAGCCAGCUCUGGCGCAGGAAUGCUGAGCAGGAAGCACCAGUGUACGUGCUUUAACUUUCAUCAACGUGAGAGACGAAAUCUAUACAUUCUGGGAAAGUUGCUUCUCGGUCUGAGGAAACAGCCAGAAGCGGGGAGCCAUUGUCUUCAGGGACGUCUGCUUUUGGAGUUCACAACUGUAUCGCCCACCGUGUGGCUGAGAGAUGCGAGGCAGGGAGGAUCUUAAGAAGGCAGCCAUUGUUGAAGUCCGUUGAAUUCAGAUAUCCAAAGCCCCAAGCUGACAGUGGGAAUCAGACCCAGAUCAAACCAGGGGACUCACUCUAAGACACACUGAAAUGACAGAAUGCAGCGGCGUGCCGGUCACUGCUUCCAAAGUCACACACAGGUGAACCUGUAGGCGGGGAAGACACAUAAGUGAGAAACCUGUGUGCUUUUGUUUUUCGUUCUCCAGCUUUCAGAAAAGAAAAAAUACAUAAAUGCUGGAAUCAAUUUCUGACACCGGCAACUGAAAAGAAUUGGAUGAACCCCAAAAUAUGAGCCACUCUAGUCUUCUACAAGCAGCAUAGGCAGCCCGUGAGUGACAACCACAGCCUGUCCUUGCAGGGCUUCCCGAGGGUGGCUGUGUCAGGCACUCAGCUGGGAGACUGUCACCAGCCGGAUCAAAGCGCCUUUCCGGGUGACCACCAGGCACCAGCCGGAGAGGACUCCACAGGCCGGAGACCCACCGUGGCCGAGGAAGGCCGCUGAAAAUAAAUAUGCACACAGCAAGCUCGGGCUCACAGAAGGGCGGGCUUAGACUAAAUAGGAUUUGGGAAGACUUUACUAUAAACCCGGAACUGAGCAGGAAAAUGGUUGCUUCCUCUGUUAAACAUUAUUUCCCCCAUGUACCCAUGUUUGCUGGGGCAAAACUCACAGUGAGAGGGUGAGCGGGCAAAGGAAAUGUGCUACAGCUGCCCACUGCGUGGGGCCCCGCCCAGCCAUGAAAAGGAACGAAACUGGGUCGCUUGCCGGGAAAGGGCGGACCCUUGAGAUCCUGAUGCGGUGAAAUAAACCAGACUCAGGAAGA